GGGAAGUUGAAUUUUCCAUUUUGGGGAGAGGGUUUUUUUGGUGGGGAGGAGGGAGCAAAGAUGGAGUGCCUACUUUAUUAUUAUUUUUAUCCCUCAGGUUUGCAGGUGGUGGAGAGAAUACCAAGACCUAGGCUCUCCUGAUCUCCCUGCAUCCCUGUCAUUUUUGGCAAUGUCGCUAAUCGGCCCAGCAGCCCGAAUCCACACGCCCCGGCGUCCAGGCUCUGCAAGGUGCAGCUGGUCUCAGGCCCUGUCUCAGGAUUUUGUGAAUAGAGACUAUAAAGCACUCCUGUAUCCUUGGCCCCAAAGAGGGCUCUCCAGACAGAAAGUUGCCUGCAUGUCCCGGUGCGUGUUUUUGAGUAUGUUACUGUUCUUCACUGCUCUGUCCCAAGAAAUCCAGCAUUGCCUAUGGCAUACCUUCUGAGGAAAGCCUUUGGGGCAAAGAAAUUACAAAAAUGAAGGUGGGGGAGUAUUACAAUUUGUAACAGUCACUUAAGAAUUCUCAACAUGUUUUUUUCAUUGGCUAAAAACAAAACAAGGUAAUACAAGACACCUGUGACCAUGCUAAAAAUAAGAGGCACAGAUGCCCCACCGUUAAAGCAAGCAGGUCACGCAGCAGGGGCAUUCCUGUGGGUGAGCGGCCUGGGAGACCAACAGAGAAGAAUCACC
rnacentral:lncRNA from 1 species